GAUGAACGCUGGCGGCGUGCCUAAUACAUGCGAGUCGAGCGAACAGACGAGGAGCUUGCUCCUCUGACGUUAGCGGCGGACGGGUGAGUAACACGUGGAUAACCUACCUAUAAGACUGGGAUAACUUCGGGAAACCGGAGCUAAUACCGGAUAAUAUAUUGAACCGCAUGGUUCAAUAGUGAAAGACGGUUUUGCUGUCACGUAUAGAUGGAUCCGCGCCGCAUUAGCUAGUUGGUAAGGUAACGGCUUACCAAGGCAACGAUGCGUAGCCGACCUGAGAGGGUGAUCGGCCACACUGGAACUGAGACACGGUCCAGACUCCUACGGGAGGCAGCCGUAGGGAAUCUUCCGCAAUGGGCGAAAGCCUGACGGAGCAACGCCGCGUGAGUGAUGAAGGUCUUCGGAUCGUAAAACUCUGUUAUUAGGGAAGAACAAAUGUGUAAGUAACUAUGCACGUCUUGACGGUACCUAAUCAGAAAGCCACGGCUAACUACGUG
rnacentral:rRNA from 1 species